rnacentral:lncRNA from 1 species
AUGGAAACCAAGAAAUGAUGCUUCCUUCUGACUUAAAGAUGUUCUUAUUAUGACAAACCCUAGCCAUUCUAUGAUUUUCUAACGAAGGAGUUAUGUUUAUUGCAAUGUGAACACCAUUUUCUAUGGCCAGGUCUCGAAACCUAGUUUGAUUUUCAGAGUGCUAGUGAAUGUGGAUCAAUGUGCAUUAUGAUUUCUAUUUUCUAUUACCCAAUCCUUUAGCCAAAAGGGUUUAACAAAUUUUCUGUCUUCCUCAGAUUGGUGCAGUCUUUCAUGCGUGCAAUCUUUGAAGUCCAUGGCUGGGCAAAGACGAACAAAGGUGACAAAAAAGAAAAGAAGGUGGGGAGAAAAGAAGAAACAACAUAUAUAUUAUACUUCUGCAAUGCCUUUACUUUUGCAUAAAUAUCAAAUACAUGGUGUUUAGGUCAAUAACUGUAAAGGUAGGAACUUUAUUCGUUGCUUGGCCUUCAUUCUUUAUCUAUUAGAUAAGAACUAUUUUAAACUAUCUUCCUUUUUCCUAUUUAAUGGCUAUAUUCCCAAGAAACAAACAACACCAUUAAACAGGAAAGUGAAACCCAAAUGUAAUUCUGAGUAUCAUCUUUGAUAACUGCAAUACAUGGUUUUUUUUCUUCUGACAUUCAUUCUACAGAGAGAAACAGAGACAGAAUUAGAUAUCUAAUUCCAAUUAGCAAAGAUAUAACUAGGGUUUCUAGGAAUCAAUGGGCAUCUACAAGUAAUCUAUUAAUCAAAACCUAAGAUGGGAAAACUUUUCUGGUGAAGAAAUUCUUGUUGGCUUACUGGUUCAAAUGGUGAUUUCGUGUUCUUCAUGCAAUCGUUGUGUCAGACAAGCCCAAUUUAGGCGGCUGAUGGGCAUGGGAAUCACUUUUCUCCACCUCCAAGAUUCAGUGGGAAUCCCUUGUCCCUGACCUGAUUCUCAUUGUUUCCAGCCAUUCCAGAGCACAGAGGAGCUGAUUCUUCACUUGUCUACAACCAAACGACAUCGUUUUGUCCAACUUCAUCUCUUUCCUACCACAUGCUCUGGACCUAAGAGGAGCAAAUCAAACCUUUCAUUUUGGCAGGAUGGAAGAAACGGAGAAACUUUCGGUGAGGGCUUUCUCAGUCUUGGUUUCCCCUUGGUAACUACUUUCCCCAUUGAUGAUAUUCUUAAUUUCGUUUUCUACGUUUAUUUUUGGAUACUAGAAAAAAGAUGAUAACAUCAGAGUGUUUUAAUAUAACUUUGUUAACUCACGGGUGAAGUGGGCAUUCAAAUAAAAACGAC